UACAGAGGGUGCGAGCGUUAUCCGGAAUUACUGGGUUUAAAGGGUGCGUAGGCGGCUAUGUAAGUCAGGAGUGAAAGUUUGCGGCUCAACCGUAAAAUUGCUUUUGAUACUGCAUGGCUAGAAUUAGGAUGAGGUCAGCGGAAUGUGGCAUGUAGCGGUGAAAUGCAUAGAUAUGCCAUAGAACACCAAUUGCGAAGGCAGCUGGCUAGACCUGGAUUGACGCUGAGGCACGAAAGCGUGGGGAGCGAACAGG
rnacentral:rRNA from 1 species